UACGUAGGGGGCAAGCGUUGUCCGGAUUUAUUGGGCGUAAAGCGCGCGCAGGCGGUCUACCAAGUUCGGAGUGACAGUUUCCGGCUUAACCGGAAAAGGUCUUCGAAAACUGGUGGACUUGAGGACUUGAGGGGGAGACGGAAUUCCGGGUGGAGCGGUGAAAUGCGUAGAGAUCCGGAGGAACACCGACGGCGUAGGCAGCGCCCUGGCUGUGAAUAAAGCUGACACUGAGGCACGAAAGCUGGGGGAGCAAACAGG
rnacentral:rRNA from 1 species